AGCAGCCGCGGUAAUUCCAGCUCCAAUAGCGUAUAUUAAAGUUGUUGCAGUUAAAAAGCUCGUAGUUGAAUUUCGAGAUCAGUACGCUGGUCGUGCCUUCGGUAUGCACUGGUGUCACUGGUUUCUCCCUUCUGAAGAACCGUCAUGUCAUUAAGUUGGUGUGGCGGGGAAUCAGGACUGUUACUUUGAAAAAAUUAGAGUGUUUAAAGCAGGCUCGCGCUUGAAUACAUUAGCAUGGAAUAAUGAAAUAGGACGUUUGACCCUAUUUUGUUGGUUUCUAGGAUCGACGUAAUGAUUAAUAGGGAUAGUUGGGGGCAUUAGUAUUCAAUUGUCAGAGGUGAAAUUCUUGGAUUUAUUGAAGACUAACUACUGCGAAAGCAUUUGCCAAGGAUGUUUUCAUUAAUCAAGAACGAAAGUUAGGGGAUCGAAGACGAUCAGAUACCGUCGUAGUCUUAACCAUAAACUAUGCCGACUAGGGAUCGGAUGAUG
rnacentral:rRNA from 1 species